rnacentral:rRNA from 1 species
GACGAACGCUGGCGGCGUGCUUAACACAUGCAAGUCGAACGGAAAGGCCCUGCUUUUGUGGGGUGCUCGAGUGGCGAACGGGUGAGUAACACGUGAGUAACCUGCCCUUGACUUUGUGAUAACUUCAGGAAACUGGGGCUAAUACCGGAUAUGAGCUCCUGCUGCAUGUUGGGGGUUGGAAAGUUUCGGCGGUUGGGGAUGGACUCGCGGCUUAUCAGCUUGUUGGUGGGGUAGUUGCUUACCAAGGCUUUGACGGGUAGCCGGCCUGAGAGGGUGACCGGCCACAUUGGGACUGAGAUACGGCCCAGAAUCCUACGGGAGGCAGCAGGGGGGAAUAUUGCACAAUGGGCGGAAGCCUGAUGCAGCAACGCCGCGUGCGGGAUGACGGCCUUCGGGUUGUAAACCGCUUUCGACUGUGACGAAGCGUGAGUGACGGUAAUGGGUAAAGAAGCACCGGCUAACUACGUG